UACGAAGGGGGGCUAGCGUUGCUCGGAAUCACUGGGCGUAAAGCGCACGUAGGCGGAUUGUUAAGUCAGGGGGUGAAAUCCUGGAGCUCAACUCCAGAACUGCCUUUGAUACUGGCGAUCUCAGUCCGGGAGAGGUGAGUGGAACUGCGAGUGUAGAGGUGAAAAUUCGUAGAUAUUCGCAAGAACACCAGUGGCGAAGGCGGCUCACUGGCCCGGUACUGACGCUGAGGGUGCGA
rnacentral:rRNA from 1 species